AGGGAUGAACAAGUAAUGUGGAUGUCAUUGUGGUUGUCUACUAUAGACCUCCCAGCCAGGACAACGACACCGAUGAAUUAUUCUUCGAGGAACUAAGUGACACUCCCAAGUCAACUGCCCUUGUCCUUGUGAGGAACUUCAGCUUCCCAGAAAUUAACUAUGACAGACCAAGGGGGGUUCAGUGCCCUGAGCUGGAGGACUGUGACUGCAAGAAUGAUAAACUCCCAGUCGAUCCUGAAAUUGUGCAGGAUCUGCUGCUCCAGCUGGAUCCCUACAAAUCUAUAGGGCCUGGUGGGAUUCAUCCAAGAAUCCUCAAAGAGGUGGCUGAUGUCAUCGCAAAACCUCUCUCAAUGGUUUUUGAGUUGUCUUGGGAAUCUGGAGAGGUCCCAGCUGACUGGAAGCUGGUGAACAUUGUCCCAAUUUUCAAGAAGGGCAGGAAGGAGGAGUUGGACUCAAUGUGAAAGUGACACUGGAUCUUGUGCUAAGGGCUUCAAAUGACCUGAUGAUCUUGCUACUUCAGUCAGUAUUUAUCGUGAAGAGCAUGCAAGCUAGACAAUUAAUCCCUCAGCAAAGAAAGAAAGGUACAUUCCUCUUUUUUUUAUCUGUGGGAAGAAGGUCUCCAAGAACCUUGCAUAUUUCACCAAUAAAUCUUCAUUUUAUUAA